GACGUAGGGUGCAAGCGUUGUCCGGAUUUACUGGGCGUAAAGAGCGCGCAGGCGGUCGUUCAAGUCGAGUGUGAAAGCCCCCGGCUCAACUGGGGAGGGUCACUCGAUACUGAUCGACUUGAAGGCAGGAGAGGGAAGCGGAAUUCCCGGUGUAGUGGUGAAAUGCGUAGAUAUCGGGAGGAACACCAGUGGCGAAGGCGGCUUCCUGGCCUGUUCUUGACGCUGAGGCGCGAAAGCUAGGGGAGCAAACGGG
rnacentral:rRNA from 1 species